CGGGUGAGUAACGCGUAGAUAAUCUGCCUUAGACUCUGGGAUAACAUCUCGAAAGGGGUGCUAAUACCGGAUAAGCCCACGGGGACGUGAGUUCUUGCGGGAAAAGGGGGCCUCUGCAUAUGCUCUUGAUCUAAGAUGAGUCUGCGUACCAUUAGCUUGUUGGUAGGGUAAUGGCCUACCAAGGCGACGAUGGUUAGCUGGUCUGAGAGGAUGAUCAGCCACACUGGGACUGAGACACGGCCCAGACUCCUACGGGAGGCAGCAGUGGGGAAUUUUGCGCAAUGGGGGAAACCCUGACGCAGCAACGCCGCGUGAGUGAUGAAGGCUUUCGGGUCGUAAAGCUCUGUCUAGAGGGAAGAAGUGAUAUUUGGCUAAUACCCAGAUUUCUUGACGGUACCUCUGAAGGAAGCACCGGCUAACUCCGUGCCAGCAGCCGCGGUAAUACGGAGGGUGCAAGCGUUGUUCGGAAUUAUUGGGCGUAAAGCGCGUGUAGGCGGUUUGUUAAGUCUGAUGUGAAAGCCCUGGGCUCAACCUGGGAAGUGCAUUGGAAACUGGCGGACUUGAAUACGGGAGAGGGUAGUGGAAUUCCGAGUGUAGGAGUGAAAUCCGUAGAUAUUCGGAGGAACACCGGUGGCGAAGGCGGCUACCUGGACCGAUAUUGACGCUGAGACGCGAAAGCGUGGGUAGCAAACAGGAUUAGAUACCCUGGUAGUCCACGCCGUAAACGCUAUGUUCUAGGUGUUGCG
rnacentral:rRNA from 1 species